UGCUUUUGAUGGGCGUCGACCGGCGCACGGGUGAGUAACGCGUAUCCAACCUGCCCACCACUUGGGGAUAACCUUGCGAAAGUAAGACUAAUACCCAAUGAUAUCUCUAGAAGACAUCUGAAAGAGACUAAAGAUUUACCGGUGAUGGAUGGGGAUGCGUCUGAUUAGCUUGUUGGCGGGGUAACGGCCCACCAAGGCAACGAUCAGUAGGGGUUCUGAGAGGAAGGUCCCCCACAUUGGAACUGAGACACGGUCCAAACUCCUACGGGAGGCAGCAGUGAGGAAUAUUGGUCAAUGGACGAGAGUCUGAACCAGCCAAGUAGCGUGCAGGAUGACGGCCCUAUGGGUUGUAAACUGCUUUUAUAAGGGAAUAAAGUGAGUCUCGUGAGACUUUUUGCAUGUACCUUAUGAAUAAGGACCGGCUAAUUCCGUGCCAGCAGCCGCGGUAAUACGGAAGGUCCGGGCGUUAUCCGGAUUUAUUGGGUUUAAAGGGAGCGUAGGCCGGAGAUUAAGCGUGUUGUGAAAUGUAGAUGCUCAACAUCUGCACUGCAGCGCGAACUGGUUUCCUUGAGUACGCACAAAGUGGGCGGAAUUCGUGGUGUAGCGGUGAAAUGCUUAGAUAUCACGAAGAACUCCGAUUGCGAAGGCAGCUCACUGGAGCGCAACUGACGCUGAAGCUCGAAAGUGCGGGUAUCGAACAGGAUUAGAUACCCUGGUAGUCCGCACGGUAAACGAUGGAUGCCCGCUGUUGGUCUGAAUAGGUCAGCGGCCAAGCGAAAGCAUUAAGCAUCCCACCUGGGG
rnacentral:rRNA from 1 species